GUCCACGCUGUAAACGAUGGGUACUAGGUGUCGCGGGUAUUGACCCCUGCGGUGCCGAAGCUAACGCAUUAAGUACCCCGCCUGGGGACUACGGCCGCAAGGCUAAAACUCAAAGGAAUUGACGGGGGCCCCGCACAAGCGGUGGAGCAUGUGGUUCAAUUCGACGCAACGCGAAGAACCUUACCCGGGUUAGAAACCGUUAGAACUCUGAUGAAAGUCGGAGGUGCCCGCAAGGGAGCUAACGCCUCGGUGCUGCAUGGCUGUCGU
rnacentral:rRNA from 1 species